UUGGCCUGACCAAAAAAAGCCAUCCGGCGCCCGGGAGAAGCGAGACUCGACUCGGGUUCUCGCCCUUCUCUUUUCUUUUUUCUCUUUCUCUUCUCCGGUUCCUGAUUUAGCUGGGAGCUGUUUAUUUAUGGCUGCAAAUGUGUGUGUGCGCGAAGGAAAGCGGGAGAAUUGAUCUUUGCCUGGACUUAAAGAUGGAGCGGAUGGCGCUGGAGGGAAUUUGGGCUGUGCAGUCAGGCUCAGACCCUGGGCGCCGAAGGGGGCAGCUUGGCACGGAGCCCAAGGUCUUUCUUCCCCGCACCCCUCACAUCGUGACCUUGCUGGAAUCCUCAGGCCCGGGAGCAACCUGGGGACCCACCUGUCCCAGGCAGAGCUACCAAGAAAGGCUGCACGGAGGGGCCCGUCCUGUGCCAGUCUUUAAAGUGAGCGCAAUAAAAGGGGUCAAAUCCUCAGACGCGAACCUGAUCGCUUGUCAAAGAAGCAACUUGCCAUGAAAUCCGCUAAUGCGCGGCGACUCGCCCACGAGGAGAUACAGGGAGCCUUGACCAGCUGGAAGGAAGACAGUGCAAAUCAGACCUGUGCCCGCUAAACCUGAAACUCCUCGCCGAGAGCGGGUGCCAAGAGAAGAAAUCGGAUCAAAGUUCAGGCUGCCGGGCCCAGCUGACCCGCCCUGUUGUCCCCGCUGGGAGGGCCAGAACCAGCCUCUAGGCUGCCACUCCACGAACUUCGAUAAGCGCUCGCGACUGGCGCCCCAGAGGGCUCUCCCCGCCGGGACCGGGAAAAGCGGGCGGCAAACCGGAGGCUGUCAAGGCGGGGGAAGCGCCCCCCACCCCACUGCUCCCCGUGGCUUGGGGUUUUCGCGGUCUCCCCAGCUGGAGCCGGGGCCGCCAGGAGCCGAGAGCGUUAGGUUCAAAUGCAUCAAGACUCUGAAGUCAUUUAUCCGGUUUCAUAAAUAAUUUUCUUAUUACACUUAAGCCCGAUUCCUGCCCCCUUUCCGUUUUUAUUGCGGGGUUUCAGCAGCUAAAAAGUUUCUAAGUCGGGUGGGCCGUUGUUUUCCUUUUUCCAUCAUUAACAUCAUUAAUAUAAGCUAUCAAUAACCCUGUCGUUCGGAGCCGAGUUUCACGAUAUUGAUCCACGCGGCUAUUCAUCUCUGCCAUGCAAGACACGGAAUAAUUUUCGCAUUACAGUAGCUUGGAUUUGCUUUUAAUUCAUAUUUAAAGCUGCAACCGGCUCAGUGGAGCGCUCUGCGAAAGACUAGAGGCGCCUAAUUAAUAAUAAGUUAGAAACGAAGGA